AUGGUUUGAUCUUGCCAGUAGUCAAUGCUUGUUCUUCAAAGAUUAAGCCAUUGCAUUGUGUAAAGUAUGAAACUAAUUCAGGACUGUUGAACUGCGAAUUGGCUCAUUAAAUCAGUCUAUAGUUUGUUCUUGAUCGGUAUCGCGCUGGCUACUCGGCGAUAACCGUCCAGUAUUCUAGAUGAGAGCUAAUACGUGCAACAAACCCGACUUCUGGAAGGGAUGCAUUUAUUAGAUAAAAGGCGACGCGGGCUCUGCCCGUUGCUUCUGAAUGAUUCAUUGAUAACUCGGAUCGCACUGGCCAUGUGCCGGGCGACGCAUCAUUCAAAUUUCUGCUCCUAUCAACUUUUCUAUGUAGGAUUAAGAGGUGCCUACCAUGCGUGGUGACGGGUGACGGAGAUUUAGGUUCGUAUUUCCGGGAGGGAGCCUGAGAAACGUGGCUUACCACAUUCCAAGGAAGGCAGCAGCGCGCGCAAAUUACCCAAUACCUGACACGGGAGGUGUAGUGACAAUAAAUAACAAUACCGGGCUCUUCGAGUCUGGUAAUUGGAAUGAGUUACAAUCUAAGAUCCCUUUAAACGAGGAUCCAAUUCGAGGGGGCAAGUCUGGGUGCUCCAGCGAGCACGCGGGGUAAAUUGCCAGCUCCGAAUAGGCGGUAUAUUUAAUUGUUGCAAGUUAAAAACUCGUAGUUGGGACCUUGGGUUGGGUCGACCGGUCCGCCUCGCUGUGUUGCACCUGUCGGCUCGUCCCUUCUGCCGGCGAUGCGCUCCUGGCCUUAAACUGGCCGGGUCGUGCCUCCCGGCCGCUGUUUACUUUGAGAAUAUUAGAGUGCUCAAAGAAGCCUACGCUGCUGGAUACAUUUAGGCAUGAGAUAACAUCAAUAGGAUUUUCGGUCCUAUUGUGUUGGCCUUCGGAUCGGAGAAUGGAGUUAACAGGGACAGUCGGGGGGCAUUCGUAUUUCAUAGUCAGAGGGUGAAAUUCUUGGAUUUAUGAAAGACGAAAACAAUCGAAAGCAUUUGCCAAGGAUGUUUUCAUUAAUCAAGAACGAAGUGCGGGGCUCGAAGUCACGAUGCAAGAUACCGUCCUGCUCACCCAUAAGCACCAGAUUGGCGUACCAGGCGCAUCGGCGGGAUGUUGCUUUUUAGGACUCCGCUCGCACCUUAUGAGAAAUUCAAAGUUCGUUUGCGUCUCGGGGGGAGUAUGGUCGCAAGGCUCGAACUUAAAGGAAUUGACGGCAAGCGCACCACCAGGAAGUGGAGCCUGCGGCUUAAUUUGAACUCAACACGGGGAAACUUCACCAGGUCCAACAGUAAGGGAUUGACAGACUGAGAGUCUUUCUUGAUUUAUGAGGUGGUGGUAGCAUGGCCGUUCUUAGUUGGUGGAGCGCAUCUUGUCUGGUUAAUUCCUGUUAACGAACGAGAACCUCAGCCUGCUUAACUAGCUAUGCGGAUAUCGCCGGCCAGCUUCUUAGAGGGACUAUGGCUUUAGGCCAAGGAAGUUUGAGGCAAUUUUACAGUGUCUGUGAUGCCCUUAGAUGUUCUGCGGCGCAUCCACGCGCGCUACACUGAUGUAGUCAACGAGUCUAUAGCCUUGUCCGACAGGCCCGGGUAUUAUCAUUGCAAUUGUUGGUCUCAACGAGGAAUCCUGAGUACGCGAGUCAUCAGCUCGCGUUGACUACGUCGCCUUGCCCUUCUGUACACACCGCCCGUCGCUGCCUACCGAUGAAUGGUCCGUGAAGUGUUUGGAUCGCGUGGCGACCAGUGGGCGGUUCGCGCCUGGCGACGUCGGAGAAGUCCACUGACCUUAUCAUUUAGAGGAAGGAGAAGUCGUAACAAGGUUUCCGUAGGUGAACCUGCGGAAG
rnacentral:rRNA from 1 species